AUGGGAACGCGAAGAACCUUACCUAGACUUGACAUCUCCUGAAUUACUCGUAACUGAGGAAAUCCCUUCGGGGACAGGAAGACAGGUGGUGCAUGGUUGUCGUCAGCUCGUGUCGUGAGAUGUUGGGUUAAGUCCCGCAACGAGCGCAACCCUUAUCAUUAGUUGCUAACAUUCAGUUGAGCACUCUAGUGAGACUGCCUGGGUUAACCAGGAGGAAGGUGGGAUGGACGUCAAAUCAUCAUGCCCCUUAUGUCUAGGGCCACGACACGUGCUACAAUGGUGGGGACAAAAAGGAUAGCGAAACCGCAAGGUUGAGCCAAACUCAAAACCCCAUACCCAGUUCGGAUUGUAGGCUGCAACUCGCCUACAUGAAGUUGGAGUUGCUAGUAAUCGCGAAUCAGAAUGUCGCGGUGAAUACGUUCCCGGGUCUUGUACACACCG
rnacentral:rRNA from 1 species